rnacentral:rRNA from 1 species
GAUGAACGCUGGCGGCGUGCCUAAUACAUGCAAGUCGAGCGAACAGACGAGGAGCUUGCUUCUCUGAUGUUAGCGGCGGACGGGUGAGUAACACGUGGAUAACCUACCUAUAAGACUGGGAUAACUUCGGGAAACCGGAGCUAAUACCGGAUAAUAUUUUGAACCGCAUGGUUCAAUAGUGAAAGACGGUUUUGCUGUCACUUAUAGAUGGAUCCGCGCUGCAUUAGCUAGUUGGUAAGGUAACGGCUUACCAAGGCAACGAUGCAUAGCCGACCUGAGAGGGGGAUCGGCCACACUGGAACUGAGACACGGUCCAGACUCCUACGGGAGGCAGCAGUAGGGAAUCUUCCGCAAUGGGCGAAAGCCUGACGGAGCAACGCCGCGUGAGUGAUGAAGGUCUUCGGAUCGUAAAACUCUGUUAUUAGGGAAGAACAAAUGCGUAAGUAACUGUGCACAUCUUGACGGUACCUAAUCAGAAAGCCACGGCUAACUACGUG